AUUUAAAAUAUAUGAUAUUAAAUCUUGUAUGAAGAGGAUCAAUCCAUAUAGAUUUGAAAGCCUGGUGAAUAUAUGUCUAAAGUACUCCUCCAUGCACAGAAAAUUUUUUAUCUUCAGUGACAAAUCUUUCACACGAUUCAGAAGGAUUCUGUUCUAGAUAGAAAUAAAGGAAAAUAAAUUAGGAAUAGCCAAUGGAUUUUCCGUAAGUAAGAAAGGAGGGAAAUUAAUCUCAUGAAUGAUUCACUGCAAAUUACUCACUGAGCUCAACCAUACUCAAGGAAAUUGAUAGUCAAAAUAAUUGACUAUAAUUCUAUUAAUUUUUUCUUGCUUAUUCAGUGUGAAAAAAAUAUAUACUCUACAGUAGUGCUGCUCUGAAUAUCUUUAUUUGGAUGCAAGAGGAAAUUCUGGUGCUAUGUGCUCCUGAGGGGAAAAUAAAGCAAUUUGACAAGCAGCAAUAAUAGGAUUUUUCUGAUGCUUACACAUGCAUCAUGCUGAAAAGGACUUUUAUCUGAUGCUCUCUGCAAAUAUUUAUUGUCUUUAUCCUGCAACAAACUGAUGUUGAUGUGUUCAACACUAAAUAGAAAUUUUUCCAAUUGAAUGUAUGCCUGCUACAUUUAUUGGAGGAUACUUGGUGAUUCUCACAGUCCUUGUAAAGCAGAAAGAAAUAAGGUUCCUGGUGUGAUGUCAUCCAGAAAAAAAAUAUGGAAGAUUCAGUCAGGACUGAAUUAUGGAGAAGUCACGACCACUAUGGAGAGGAGCUGUGAAACAUACGUUACAUUUGUCAUAAAACAGAGCCAUUCCUGUUUGAGGAAUGAAAGUAUUUGUUACAGGAUGAAAUGAGCAGUUGUACAAUACAGACUUAGGAACUUUUAGAUCACAUAUUAUUUGAAAUAUCUUUGAGAGCUGUGUAUAGCUGAAUUUCUUGCUACUCAGUCAUCAGAUAUGCAGAUGUGAUUACAAGCGUGUAUUAAACUAAUCAUAACUAAGAAUUUAGAUUUCAAAAUGUCUGUUCUCAUGGAAGCACACUGGUAAGUUAUACUGAAGAGAGUGUCUAUGGUAAAAUCACUACUGGCAAAGAUGCAUGAGAAUAUUUUUAAUAUGCAAUUAAAAACU